rnacentral:lncRNA from 1 species
ACACGUGGUACCCAAGGUGGCCUUCAGUGUCAACACUUACUCUACCCACACAGGAAGAAAGAAAAAGAAAUGAAGAGGAAGAAAAAAGCAGAAGAAAGAAAGAAGAAGAAAUAAAGAAGAAAGAGCACACCUAUUUCUUAACUGCUUAGGAGGAGUAUGUGACUGGCUUAGCUUGGGUCUUUUUCUGGCUCCUCAGACUGUGUCCAGAGGUAACUACUCAGAGGGAAAAGAUAUCCAAUAACACAAAGAAAUGGAAUGAAUGAACAGCCGCAGCAACAAACAUUUACUCACCAUCUUUCACAGCCGAUGCCAACUUUCAGCAUGAGAAGGCUCACCGCAUGGCUGUCUAAUGAGGAACCUCCCGGGGAUGGUGGUGACAGCUACUCCCCUUUGCCACUGAAAGCUUGUUCCACUUACUGACCAAGAAUUUGGACUGGGUAUGCAGCAC